AGUCACAUUACAGGGCAAGAUUUCUAUUGGCAGGUAGCUUCACACUAUUAUCUAUGCAUCUCAGCCAUGCAUGCACUCAUUUUAGUGUGCAAUCUGCCAAAGGAGAUUUGCCCAGUGAUUUACUG